rnacentral:rRNA from 1 species
GGGUAACCUGCCUGUAAGACUGGGAUAACUCCGGGAAACCGGGGCUAAUACCGGAUGGUUGUUUGAACCGCAUGGUUCAAACAUAAAAGGUGGCUUCGGCUACCACUUACAGAUGGACCCGCGGCGCAUUAGCUAGUUGGUGAGGUAACGGCUCACCAAGGCAACGAUGCGUAGCCGACCUGAGAGGGUGAUCGGCCACACUGGGACUGAGACACGGCCCAGACUCCUACGGGAGGCAGCAGUAGGGAAUCUUCCGCAAUGGACGAAAGUCUGACGGAGCAACGCCGCGUGAGUGAUGAAGGUUUUCGGAUCGUAAAGCUCUGUUGUUAGGGAAGAACAAGUGCCGUUCGAAUAGGGCGGCACCUUGACGGUACCUAACCAGAAAGCCACGGCUAACUACGUGC